AGAGUUUGAUCCUGGCUCAGAGCGAACGUUAGCGGCAGGCUUAACACAUGCAAGUCGAGCGAGAAAGGGGCUUCGGCUCCGAGUAAAGCGGCGGACGGGUGAGGAAUACAUGGGUAAUCUACCAUCGAGUGGGGAAUAACCAGCCGAAAGGUUGGCUAAUACCGCGUACGCCUCCGAAUCUUCGGGUUCGGAGGGAAAGCCACACUGUGAGUGCGGCGCUCUUUGAUGAGCUCAUGUCCUAUCAGCUUGUUGGUAGGGUAACGGCCUACCAAGGCUUUGACGGGUAGCUGGUCUGAGAGGACGAUCAGCCACACUGGCACUGCGACACGGGGCCAGACUCCUACGGGAGGCAGCAGUAAGGAAUAUUGCGCAAUGGGCGAAAGCCUGACGCAGCGACGCCGCGUGGGGGGAUGAAGGUCUUCGGAUUGUAAACCCCUUUCGGGAGGGAAGGAUGGAGCGAGCAAUCGUUCGGACGGGUACCUCCAGAAGCAGCCACGGCCAACUCGUGCCAGCA
rnacentral:rRNA from 1 species